rnacentral:rRNA from 1 species
AUUCCAGCUCCAAUAGCGUAUACUAAAGUUGUUGCAGUUAAAAAGCUCGUAGUUGAAUUUCUGGUCUCAGACAACGGUCUGCCUCAAACGAGGUACGUACCAGUUGUCUGAAUCCAUCCUCGGGGAAAACAUAUCUGUCAUUUAGUUGAUGGGUAUGGGAUCCUCGUCAUUUACUGUGAGCAAAAUAGAGUGUUCAAAGCAGGCUUAUGCCAUUGAAUACAUUAGCAUGGAAUAAUAAGAUAGGACCUCGGUUCUAUUUUGUUGGUUUCUAGAGCUGAGGUAAUGAUUGAUAGGGAUAGUUGGGGGCAUUCGUAUUUAACUGUCAGAGGUGAAAUUCUGUGAUUCGCGAAAGACUAACUUAUGCGAAAGCAUUCACCAAGGAUGUCUUCAUUA